rnacentral:rRNA from 1 species
GGACCCGCACAAGCGGUGGAACAUGUGGUUUAAUUCGAUGAUACGCGAAGAACCUUACCUGGGUUUGACAUGUUAGUGAAAGUUUUCUGAAAAGAAAUCCCUUUAAAAGCUUGCUUUUAAACACUAUCACAGGUGAUGCAUGGCUGUCGUCAGCUCGUGUCGUGAGAUGUUAGGUUAAGUCCUGCAACGAGCGCAACCCCUAUAUUUAGUUGCCAGCACAUAAUGGUGGGGACUCUAAAUAGACUGCCCGGAAUAACCGGGAGGAAGGUGGGGAUGAUGUCAAGUCAGUAUGUCCCUUAUACCCAGGGCUACACACGUGUUACAAUGGACAGUACAGAAAGUUGCAAUUCCGCGAGGAGGAGCCAAUCUUUAAAACUGUCCCCAGUUCAGAUUGAAGUCUGAAAUUCGACUUCAUGAAGCAGGAAUCGCUAGUAAUCG